rnacentral:rRNA from 1 species
AGUGAACGCUGGCGGUAGGCCUAACACAUGCAAGUCGAACGGCAGCACAGUAAGAGCUUGCUCUUACGGGUGGCGAGUGGCGGACGAGUGAGGAAUACAUCGGAAUCUACUUUUUCGUGGGGGAUAACGUAGGGAAACUUACGCUAAUACCGCAUACGACCUACGGGUGAAAGCAGGGGAUCUUCGGACCUUGCGCGAUUGAAUGAGCCGAUGUCGGAUUAGCUAGUUGGCGGGGUAAAGGCCCACCAAGGCGACGAUCCGUAGCUGGUCUGAGAGGAUGAUCGGCCACACUGGAGCUGAGACACGGUCCAGACUCCUACGGGAGGCAGCAGUGGGGAAUAUUGGACAAUGGGCGCGAGCCUGAUCCAGCCAUACCGCGUGGGUGAAGAAGGCCUUCGGGUUGUAAAGCCCUUUUGUUGGGAAAGAAAAGCAGCAGGUUAAUACCCCGCUGUUCUGACGGUACCCAAAGAAUAAGCACCGGCUAACUUCGUG